rnacentral:rRNA from 1 species
GAUGAACGCUGGCGGCGUGCCUAAUACAUGCAAGCCGAGCGAACGGACGAGAAGCUUGCUUCUCUGAUGUUAGCGGCGGACGGGUGAGUAACACGUGGAUAACCUACCUAUAAGACUGGGAUAACUUCGGGAAACCGGAGCUAAUACCGGAUAAUAUUUUGAACCGCAUGGUUCAAAAGUGAAAGACGGUCUUGCUGUCACUUAUAGAUGGAUCCGCGCUGCAUUAGCUAGUUGGUAAGGUAACGGCUUACCAAGGCAACGAUGCAUAGCCGACCUGAGAGGGUGAUCGGCCACACUGGAACUGAGACACGGUCCAGACUCCUACGGGAGGCAGCAGUAGGGAAUCUUCCGCAAUGGGCGAAAGCCUGACGGAGCAACGCCGCGUGAGUGAUGAAGGUCUUCGGAUCGUAAAACUCUGUUAUUAGGGAAGAACAUAUGUGUAAGUAACUGUGCACAUCUUGACGGUACCUAAUCAGAAAGCCACGGCUAACUACGUGCCAGCAGCCGCGGUAAUACGUAGGUGGCAAGCGUUAUCCGGAAUUAUUGGGCGUAAAGCGCGCGUAGGCGGUUUUUUAAGUCUGAUGUGAAAGCCCACGGCUCAACCGUGGAGGGUCAUUGGAAACUGGAAAACUAGAGUGCAGAAGAGGAAAGUGGAAUUCCAUGUGUAGCGGUGAAAUGCGCAGAGAUAUGGAGGAACACCAGUGGCGAAGGCGACUUUCUGGUCUGUAACUGACGCUGAUGUGCGAAAGCGUGGGGAUCAAACAGGAUUAGAUACCCUGGUAGUCCACGCCGUAAACGAUGAGUGCUAAGUGUUAGGGGGUUUCCGCCCCUUAGUGCUGCAGCUAACGCAUUAAGCACUCCGCCUGGGGAGUACGACCGCAAGGUUGAAACUCAAAGGAAUUGACGGGGACCCGCACAAGCGGUGGAGCAUGUGGUUUAAUUCGAAGCAACGCGAAGAACCUUACCAAAUCUUGACAUCCUUUGACAACUCUAGAGAUAGAGCCUUCCCCUUCGGGGGACAAAGUGACAGGUGGUGCAUGGUUGUCGUCAGCUCGUGUCGUGAGAUGUUGGGUUAAGUCCCGCAACGAGCGCAACCCUUAAGCUUAGUUGCCAUCAUUAAGUUGGGCACUCUAAGUUGACUGCCGGUGACAAACCGGAGGAAGGUGGGGAUGACGUCAAAUCAUCAUGCCCCUUAUGAUUUGGGCUACACACGUGCUACAAUGGACAAUACAAAGGGCAGCGAAACCGCGAGGUCAAGCAAAUCCCAUAAAGUUGUUCUCAGUUCGGAUUGUAGUCUGCAACUCGACUACAUGAAGCUGGAAUCGCUAGUAAUCGUAGAUCAGCAUGCUACGGUGAAUACGUUCCCGGGUCU